rnacentral:rRNA from 1 species
CCUACGGGGGGCAGCAGUGAGGAAUAUUGGUCAAUGGACGAGAGUCUGAACCAGCCAAGUAGCGUGAAGGAUGACUGCCCUAUGGGUUGUAAACUUCUUUUAUAUGGGAAUAAAAUGUUCCACGUGUGGGCUUUUGUAUGUACCAUAUGAAUAAGGAUCGGCUAACUCCGUGCCAGCAGCCGCGGUAAUACGGAGGAUCCGAGCGUUAUCCGGAUUUAUUGGGUUUAAAGGGAGCGUAGGUGGAUUGUUAAGUCAGUUGUGAAAGUUUGCGGCUCAACCGUAAAAUUGCAGUUGAAACUGGCAGUCUUGAGUACAGUAGAGGUGGGCGGAAGUCGUGGUGUAGCGGUGAAAUGCUUAGAUAUCACGAAGAACUCCGAUUGCGAAGGCAGCUCACUGGACUGCAACUGACACUGAGGCUCGAAAGUGUGGGUAUCAAACAGGAUUAGAUACCCUUGUAGUC